GACGGGUCAAUCAGUGUUUAGUGAGUGCUUUUUUUCUGUGUGUCUUAACUACCCAGUUUGCCACACUAUUCCUGGACCUAUUACAAAACUGCAGUUUUAUGUUAGAAAACGAAGACAGCAGCUCACGUGCUUCACUGAGGAGAGCACGAUGUUCCCAUGGCAUACCUUCUGGAGACUUCAAGCUGUUGACCAGAUUUAGGAAGUCUGACUCCAGAAUUAGGUUUUCACCCGCAAGAGGAGAGAGGAAUUUGAGGGUUUUCACCAUGGCUAGGCUCUUGGCUUGCUCGGUGGAGGAGGCGAGGACGUCCUUGGCAAAGCCAUCGAUUAAGAUCCCAGCUGAGUUGCGGCAUACACAAGCUAUUGAACCUUCAAAGGAACCAGCAACUGUGGGUCCGGGAGGAGCCUUCUAAAGACGAGGCUAUUCCUUGCUUUCUAUAUUUCCCAGAGGACAACAGAGACCAACUCAAAUUCGGGAGAGUUGUUGCUGCUGGGUAUGUAUUUUAUCAGCCAUUCAUCAAUUCGGGAAGUUUGGUAGUUAGAGAUCUGGAUGUUGAGUGCAGGAACAUCCCAGACUUCCCUCGUCCACUUACAUAGUAGAAGUAGAUGUUCUGUGGUUUCUGCAUGAACUCGGUAGAAUGGGCAAUUCAGAUCAGGUACCAGUUUCCUUCUGUACAAAUUUUCCUUCGUUGGUAGUGCGUUUUGGCAUAUGCUCCAUACAAAGUUUCUGAUUUUGUGGGGA